rnacentral:ncRNA from 1 species
GGAGCUGGUCGAAAGACCCGGGUCCAUCCGUCGGCGGGUAAGACACCC